GGUGGGUGGUUUAAUGGUAGAAUUUUUGUCUUCCAUGCAGGAGACCCAGGUUCAGUUCCUGGCCAACGCA
rnacentral:tRNA from 1 species